rnacentral:misc_RNA from 1 species
AAAGUCGUAACAAGGUUUCCGUAGGUGAACCUGCGGAAGGAUCAUUAAUACGUUAUCAACGUACUAAUAACCCAAUUGUGAAUUUUGUAUUCUUCCUUUUUGGAUUGGAGGAUUUCUGCGAGUGUUUCUUAAGCAUGGUGGACAGUCAAAUGUUCAUUAGAAGCUUUACAUCGGUCCUAGCAUACACUUCGGUGUUUUGUUAGCUCUUCCAAAAAGUGUAUUUUUUAUUUUCCAUGCUUUUUUCUAAACUUUAAACCCCAAGUACUAAUUUAAAGAACUAAAUCUGUUUUUUAUUGUUGAAAAACUUUAAAAAUCAAAACCGAAACUUAAGAACAACUCUUAACAACGGAUAUCUUGGUUCUC